UUUUAGCCCUGAUUGUAAUGGAAAUCCCGCAGUGACGACGAAGGAGGAGCGAGGAAUUGGAAUGAAAAGCGGGACAAGGU
rnacentral:sRNA from 2 species